rnacentral:rRNA from 1 species
CUCGGUGGUCACAGCGGGAAGGCAACGCCCGGCCCCAUUCCGAACCCGGAAGCUAAGACUCCCAGCGCCAAUGGUACUGCACCCGCAAGGGUGUGGGAGAGUAGGACACCGCCGAGC